UCCACGGUAGCUCAGCGGGUAGAGCGCGCGACUGUUAAUCGCGUCGUCCCUGGUUCGAUCCCAGGCUGUGGAG
rnacentral:tRNA from 1 species